rnacentral:rRNA from 1 species
CGCUGAAGGCAUCUAAGCGUGAAGCCCCCCUUAAGAUGAGAUAUCCCAUUCGAAAGAAGUAAACCCCCUUGAAGACGACGAGGUAGAUAGGGCAGAGGUGGAAGUGCAGCAAUGCAUGGAGCUGACUGUUACUAAUCGGGUGAGGGCUUGACCAAG